rnacentral:tRNA from 1 species
UAUUUUAUAAUGUAAGAAGCAUAAAGAUUUUUGAUAUCUUAAGAUAUAGUUUAAUUCUAUUUAAAAUAU